UCUGGUGACUUGCUUUUCUUCUAGAUAGAAGACAUUUAGAGGACAGGUAUCUGCAAUGGUGAAUGUGUUACUGAUAAGAAGGAUGUAAAUGAAAAGUGCUGCUAUUGAUUGUCACCCAGAACUCUUGAGAAAAAGCUUUGCUCAGUGUUUGUGACUGCCAGUGAAGUCUGUUCUUUAGUUGUAUACUGGAGGAGGAAGUUCUGGUAGCCUGGCUCAGCUAGCAGGCUUUCAAUUUGAGGACCAGUGCAGGCAGCCUGAUUCCUUGUGUUUGAACAUGAUGUAUGCAGGAUGUGGAUUGAAAAACAUGGAGAACACCAAGUGAAUCAUAAGAUCCUUUUGUCUGUUGAGCUUUCUGCACAAGGGAGUCGGUUUCUUAGAAAAUAGAUAGCUAUGCAGAAGGGCAAGGAAAAAUGGAGUACUUGAACCUGCUGAUGGCCUAUGUGAGAAACACAUCAAAAGCUACCACUGUGAUCCCUAUAAAUAAUAAAUAAAAGGUUGAAUAAAAGGC